UUUCAUUACUUUUGAAGAUUUGUUACGUUUUAUUCCGACAACCCCCUAAAAAUGGUUUUUCCAUCAUAGCUUUUUUAUUUUCAAUUCUACAUUUUUUGCAUUGCAGGAAGCCAGAAACAAAGAUUGGAAAAGAUAUCGAGAACUCAACAAGCAACAGACAAGCAACGAACC